rnacentral:rRNA from 1 species
GGGGAAUCUUGCACAAUGGGCGAAAGCCUGAUGCAGCGACGCCGCGUGCGGGACGAAGGCCUUCGGGUUGUAAACCGCUUUCAGCAGGGACGAGGCGCAAGUGACGGUACCUGCAGAAGAAGCCCCGGCUAACUACGUGCCAGCAGCCGCGGUAAUACGUAGGGGGCGAGCGUUAUCCGGAUUCAUUGGGCGUAAAGCGCGCGUAGGCGGCCCGUUAGGUCGGGAGUCAAAUCCGGGGGCUCAACCCCCGUCCGCUCCCGAUACCGGCGGGCUUGAGUCUGGUAGGGGAAGGUGGAAUUCCAAGUGUAGCGGUGGAAUGCGCAGAUAUUUGGAAGAACACCGGUGGCGAAGGCGGCCUUCUGGGCCACGACUGACGCUGAGGCGCGAAAGCUAGGGGAGCGAAC